CAAUAGCGUAUAUUAAAGUUGUUGCAGUUAAAAAGCUCGUAGUUGGAUUUCGGGACGGGCCAGUUGGUCCGCCGCAAGGUGUGUUACUGACUGGUCUGUUCUUCUUCGCAAAGACUGCGUGUGCUCUUCGUUGAGUGUGCGUAGGAUUUACGACGUUUACUUUGAAAAAAUUAGAGUGUUCAAAGCAGGCUAUCGCUUGAAUACAUGAGCAUGGAAUAAUGGAAUAGGACUUUGGUCCUAUUUUGUUGGUUUCUAGGACCGAAGUAAUGAUUAAGAGGGACAAUUGGGGGCAUCCGUAUUUCGUUGUCAGAGGUGAAAUUCUUGGAUUUACGAAAGACGAACAACUGCGAAAGCACUUGCCAAGAGUGUUUUCAUUAA
rnacentral:rRNA from 1 species